CAGUAGCCGCGGGAAAACGAAGGGGGCUAGCGUUGUUCGGAAUUACUGGGCGUAAAGCGCGCGUAGGCGGACACUUAAGUCAGGGGUGAAAUCCCGGGGCUCAACCCCGGAACUGCCUCUGAUACUGGGUGUCUAGAGUUCGGAAGAGGUAAGUGGAAUUGCGAGUGUAAAGGUGAAAUUCGUAGAUAUUCGCAGGAACACCAGUGGCGAAGGCGACUUACUGGUCCGAUACUGACGCUGAGGUGCGAAAGCGUGGGGAGCAAACAGGAUUAGAUACCCCAGUAGUCCCUGUCUCUUAUAC
rnacentral:rRNA from 1 species